CCUACGGGUGGCAGCAGUGAGGAAUAUUGGUCAAUGGACGAGAGUCUGAACCAGCCAAGUAGCGUGAAGGAUGACUGCCCUAUGGGUUGUAAACUUCUUUUAUAAAGGCAUAAAACGAGGCACGUGUGCCUUUUUGCAUGUACUUUAUGAAUAAGGAUCGGCUAACUCCUUGCAAGCAGCCGCGGUACUACGGAGGAUCCGAGCGUUAUCCGGGUUUUUUGGGUUUAAAGGGAGCGUAGAUGGGUUGUUAAGUCAGUUGUGAAAGUUUGCGGCUCAACCGUAAAAUUGCAAUGGAUACUGGCAGGCUUGAGUACAGUUGAGGUAGGCGGAAUUCGUGGUGUAGCGGUGAAAUGCUUAGAUAUCACGAAGAACCCCGAUUGCGAAGGCAGCUUACUAAACUGGGACUGACAUUGAUGCUCGAAAGUGUGGGUAUCAAACAGGAUUAGAUACCCCUGUAGUUC
rnacentral:rRNA from 1 species